AGAAAAAUUCUUCUUUUUUUUUUUUGUUUACAAAAAGUAAAUUCAAAGUGAAAGUGUACUUAUCCAUUUAGUUACGAAACGCACUGUACCAACGAGUAGUGUGUGUGUGUGCGUGUGUGUCUGGGUCUGGCAUGCCUGUCAAAGGAUAAUUUUGGACUCGCGCACUCGCGCGCUGAAACCCCAAUUAUAAAAUGGUUAUAAAUAAAUUGAACGUUUGCCAAUCGAUGGAAAGAGUUGAAUGAUAAAUGACUUGGACACCACAAAAAUAGAGAGAGAGAGAGCGAAAGAUACACACUCGAAUACACCGACAGAUAGUGAAGGAGAGUAGGAGAGAGAAGCUUCUAUUUAUAGAAAUCUCUGUUUAUAAUAUGUGUUCCCCGCAAUUGCCAUUACGACAAACGUCUGUGUCUGUCGUCUGACAAGCUGUCGCUCUGUCUCACUGUCGUUGUGUCAGUUCCAACCCAAAAAUAGUUGACGACAUUUUGCAUUUGCAGGUUUUUGCAUCACAGGAAUGGGAACGCAGAGAGAGCGCAAUCGCAGGCUGUUCGUAAAAAAUACAUGAUUGAAGGAAUGGACGAUGAAUGACGCAGAUGGAUUGUUGGUUCACAUUGCAAUCAAUCGCAGAUAUGCAGAGGAGUACAUCCGCCUGGUGACCGCAGCAGCAAGUGGAGCGCAGACCCUGAAGCUCCCCUCCUUUUUGUAGUUUGUAGUAUGCACCCAAAAAGUAAAUAAGUGGAAGACCCCGUCAUGCAAUGCCACCGGAGUGGCAGAGCAGCGGAAACGUCGCACAAGGGGCAUAUUGUUGGACCUCCCAAUGCGUGACACUUCAUGACAAUAAGUAGAAAAUCUCUUUAAAUAAUUUUCGGAUUUUUGACCAUUACUGAUUUACAAGAUUUAUCCUAGCGAUCUAGUCUAAAAUAAUGCCCAUCGGAGAACUCUCAUAGCCGGAACAUAGGAAAAUGAGUGCUAAUAAAUUAGUAAGUUUGAGGAUAAAUUCCUUUAUUUCAGGCUGCACAAGGAAUCGAGUGUAUUUGCCUUGAAUGCCUGCUGGUGUUUCUCCCUGAUUUCUGUACAGAGUGACGUUAGUUGCAGCUCAAACACUACAUCA